ACAGCUCAGUAACACGUGGACAACCUACCCAAAGGUCUGGGAUAACUCCGGGAAACUGGGGAUAAUACCGGAUAGGUCAAGAGUACUGGAAGGGUUUUUUGAUUGAAAGCUCUGGCGCCUUUGGAUGGGUCUGCGGCUGAUUAGGUUGACGCCGGUGUAAAGUACCGGCGUGCCGAUUAUCAGUACGGGUUGUGGGAGCAAGAGCCCGGAGAUGGAUUCUGAGACACGAAUCCAGGCCCUACAGGGCGCAGCAGGCGCGAAAACUUUACAAUGCAGGCAACUGCGAUAGGGGAACAUCGAGUGCUCAUCAUAUUGGUGGGCUGUCCAUCCGCCUAAAAAGCGGGUGUUAGCAAGGGCCGGGCAAGACCGGUGCCAGCCGCCGCGGUAAUACCGGCGGCUCGAGUGGUGGCCGAUAUUAUUGAGUCUAAAGGGUCCGUAGCCGGCUUUGCAAGUCUCUCGGGAAAUCCAGCGGCUUAACCGUUGGUCGGCCGGGGGGUACUACAUUGCUUGGGACUGGGAGAGGUAGGAGGUACUCAGGGGGUAGGAGUGAAAUCCUGUAAUCCUCUGGGGACCACCGGUGGCGAAGGCGUCCUGCCAGAACAGGUCCGACGGUGAGGGACGAAAGCUAGGGGCACGAACCGGAUUAGAUACCCGGGUAGUCCUAGCCGUAAACGAUGCUCGCUAGGUGUCGCAACAGUCGUGAAUUGUUGCGGUGCCGUAGGGAAGCCGUGAAGCGAGCCACUUGGGAAGUACGACCGCAAGGUUGAAACUUAAAGGAAUUGGCGGGGGAGCAC
rnacentral:rRNA from 1 species